GGGGGCAGCAAGCUGUUCUAUUUUUUCAGUUAUUUUAUUGUGUUGUUUGUACAGAAUAAUUUCCAGCCAAAAUCUGUAGAGCAGUUUUUCAUUUUUGCUAUAAUUUUUUGUUCAUUCUCCAGGACUGUCUGUUCUUUCAGUCCCCACCUCCUGCCGGCGUAGGAGGGAAAUCUGUUCCUUUCUCUAUAAUUGCCCCACUGGCUUCUAUAUUUGGAUCUAUGUCCUCUGUCCUCUCCUCUCACUCGCUGUCGCUCUCUUGCUGUUUUGUCACUGUUAUUGAUUCACAUUCUCGCUCCGCUGCAAAGCAAAACCAGCCAGAAUCGGUGCAAGGAAGAAGCAAGGAAGCAUCGACGGUGAGUGAAGGAGGCGAGGCAGGGGUCUCCUCAGAUCUCCGCGCUGCAUCAGUAACAGAGUAACUCUGCUCCACUGUGGAAAUGGACGCUGGCGUUAGGAGCUUCUUUAGUCUGCUGCUAAUCACACACUUUAGCAGAGCCCAGAAAAUCAGUGAUGACUCCAUCAACACCCCCCACCCUCCUGUGCUGUUCAGCGUCAGCCCCCAAUCCUACAUCAGCUUCCUUCUGCUGGGCCUGACCGUCGUCGUGUUCGGCGGCGUCUAUCUCUGGAUCCUCAGAUACGUCUGCAUCGGCUGCUGCCAGCCCAUCACAGUGGGCGUUGAAUCAGAAGCCCUGGCAGGGAUGGUGUGAAGUCAUCAGCCCCUGUCUGAUUGAGUUGGGCUGUUACCAAGUCACACAGGACAUGUACCUCGGUUUUACAGGUAAAAGACUUGGCCUAUCCGACUUGUCAUCAAUUUUGCAAAAGAAAGUAGGUGUCAGGGAAAAUAACUAAGUGUGUAGUUAUUUGUGCUCCCAUAUAAGUUUUUUUUUUUUUUCAAGUGCGGUUCCAGAGUGCUCAGUGACAGUGUCAAUGCUGGAAAAUAAGAAAGUAGGAGAAAAGUAGCUCUUUUGCUCUUACUUCUACACCCUGCUUACCCGAUAUCUGGCAAACAUCUGUUGGACACUGCCUGAAAAAUCGCUAAAAAGCUACUGAGCAGUGAACGUGAGACACAACUGUAAAGCUGGGUGGCAGAAAUUUAAGAAAAAGUUCAGCUAAUAAGCUGAUAAAAUGCUUUGUAUGUUUGCUUUAGGGUUUUCUUUGUAGUUUAUUGACUGUUUUAUUUCGAAACCCUUUUUUCAUGGUUUCUUUUCUUACUUCCUGCCUUUCUCCUUCACAAGUGGGUUUUGUGUGUAACAAUUAGCCAUUUAGUGUAUUUAUAAUGGCGUCCCCCUUUUCUGCUGUCAAGUUAGUUUGUGUCUAGUUUUAUUUGUUUUGUUCCUGGGUAUCUGUCUCAGCUUCAGCAUUAUGUUAAAAACAAUCCAUAAAAACAUACUACAGUGUUUUGUUUUAAAACAAAGACAUUUUCUAUUAUUUUUUCUCCAUAUAUUUCACUCAACUGGUUAUUUUUGAGCAUUUACACACUUUAUGGGGAAAAAAAUUACCAGUUGAAGUUUUUGUGAAAGUACAGCCUGUUGAUUUCUCUGCUCUUGGCAUUUCUGCUCAGCUGAAUGACACAAAUAAAUCUCCUUUUCUUCUUCAAUCUUGCCUUGUGUGAUUGGGUCCUGUGUAGGGUGACCAGAUCACAGUCUAAAAGUAAAUAUAACAAAAAUAAAGAGAAGCUGAAGUUUG